UGGGGAAUUUUGGACAAUUGGGCGAAAGCCUGAUCCAGCAAUGCCGCGUGUGUGAAGAAGGCCUUCGGGUUGUAAAGCACUUUUGUCCGGAAAGAAAUCCUUGGCUCUAAUACAGUCGGGGGAUGACGGUACCGGAAGAAUAAGCACCGGCUAACUACGUGCCAGCAGCCGCGGUAAUACGUAGGGUGCAAGCGUUAAUCGGAAUUACUGGGCGUAAAGCGUGCGCAGGCGGUUUGCUAAGACCGAUGUGAAAUCCCCGGGCUCAACCUGGGAACUGCAUUGGUGACUGGCAGGCUAGAGUAUGGCAGAGGGGGGUAGAAUUCCACGUGUAGCAGUGAAAUGCGUAGAGAUGUGGAGGAAUACCGAUGGCGAAGGCAGCCCCCUGGGCCAAUACUGACGCUCAUGCACGAAAGCGUGGGGAGCAAACAGGAUUAGAUACCCUGGUAGUCCACGCCCUAAACGAUGUCAACUAGUUGUUGGGGAUUCAUUUCCUUAGUAACGUAGCUAACGCGUGAAGUUGACCGCCUGGGGGAGUACGGUCGCAAGAUUAAAACACAAAUGAAUUGACGGGGUC
rnacentral:rRNA from 1 species